UGCUGGCUGCUGGCGCCCGGCGCCCGGGGCGGUCGGGGUCCCGACCCCGGCCCGGGAUCUCUCGGGGCCGCGCCUGUGCCUGGACCGGAGGCCUGGGCCCGACGUCCCCGGAAGCACGCUCGGAGUCCAACUGUGGAUCCCGUUUCCUGGAUCUGCUGAAAACUAGGGUUCCCCCCUGGGGACCGGCCGUUCCGCGAGCGCAGGAGAGGGGGAAUUGGUAUUCUGAUCUCGCCCGAAGGGUGGACAGAGGCAGAUGCGUGGCCAUGAAACAAAGAUGGAGAGAAAAAGAGGAAGCACCGAUGACCAAGUUGUGCUGGGUUAACCAUACUCCUGUUGUGAAACGCCCGAACUGCUGAAUCAGGAAAUCGGAUAGAAAUCGUGUAUUUGGACCCGGAAGCUGUAUGUAUCAGGAUUCUUUCAGUUGUAAGUGGCAGAACUCCAUUCAAACUGGUUUUUCAAAAAAAAAGGGACUACAUCGGCUCACAUAACUCACCUAAAUUCUGGGGUUGGCCUAGCAAGAUCCAGGGGCGCCGAUGAUGUCAUCAGAACUUGGUGUCACUCCCGCUAUUUGACCACCUCCCUCGGAGCUGGCUUCGUUCUCGGAUUAGGGGCUUUU